AUUGAACGCUGGCGGCAGGCUUAACACAUGCAAGUCGAACGAGUGGCGGGCGGGAUGGUUAUGCUUCGGCCUCUAACUUAUGGAUGAGGAUAGCUACGGGGAACUGUAGCCACUACCGCGUUCCAUAGCAUGAGCCCAAGUGGGAUUAGGUAGUUGGUGGGGUAAAGGCUUACCAAGCCGACGAUCUCUAGCUGGUCUGAGAGGAUGACCAGCCACACUGGAACUGAGACACGGCCCAGACUCCUACGGGAGGCAGCAGUGGGGAAUAUUGCGCAAUGGGCGAAAGCUGACGCAGCCAUGCCGCGUGAAUGAAGAAGGCCUUCGGGUUGUAAAGUACUUUAGGUAGCGAGGCGUUAACUACAGAAGAAGCACCGGCUAACUCCGUGCCAGCAGCCGCGGUAAUAC
rnacentral:rRNA from 1 species